rnacentral:lncRNA from 1 species
ACACACACACACACACACACCAUGCCUUGUUUGAUAAACCCAUCAUUAUCCUCUCUUAUUCAAAUCUGUCCUUCUUCAAAUCAAAUAUUUUUAUUACAUUUAAAAAAUGUGUUAAGUAUAUGAAUAUGAGGAAAGGUGUCCAUAGAGGCUCUGACCUGGAGAUAAAGUAACAGGUAUUUGUAAUCCUUUUGAUAUGAGUGCUGGGGAAGUUGGCUCCUCUGGUGAAGCAAUAUUGCUUUUAUCCACUGGUGCAUCUCUCCAUGCCCCAGUCCCUUCUUAUUCCUAAUUCCUUCCAUUACAUUAAAUUAUUUUUGAUUUCAUGCUUCUCUCAUGUAUCCAUUGAGAUGACUCUGAAGCCUGAGUGUUAUCAGAGAUCAGAGAAUAUUAAAUAACAUUCCCAAAACAUUUUUUACAGUCAAUAAACACAUUAGCAUUUCCCUGGCUCCUAAAGCUAGCACUUUUCCAUAAACUGUUGUAGAAAAUGAAAUAUUUCUUAGUUACAUUGAUUAAAGUAUCUUUUGUACUUAUUUUCCUUCUCAAAUAAUUUAAAAAUCAAAACAAUGAAGAGAAAUAAUAAUUUAUAUGUGAACAGGGUAAAAUUACUAUCAUUUUGCAGUUUAUAAAUAGAAUGAGUAAUGUGUGGCACAUAUCAAAACUUGAUGUUCCUUGUUCUGUGACAGUGAAUUCCAGUCGCUACCUGCUAUGCAGUUCUGUCACAGAAGUCAGGUAGCAGUAGUAUUUACUUCAGCUUGAGGCAAUGGUUACUAAAUUGAGAGAGUUAUCUAAGCUCACUGACUUUUAAGAUCAAAAAGGCCAAAGUCAUAAAUGAAGUAAUUCAACCAGAGCAUUAUAAUAUAUUUUUAUGUUUUAAUUAUAAUAAAUUUUGAAGUAAACCUAGCCACUCAAAUCUGCUAGCAUACAAUUAUAAUGUAACUUUCUUAUAAACUGGUAUUAGAUUAUCUCAACAUCUGCAUUUUCAAUACGAACUCCUGUUCUUUAUCCUAUUUUGAGAAAUGUUUGUCAUUCUCCAAAUGUUUAGAAGAGUAGAGGAUGGACUCACAUUUUCUCAGCUUUGGUUUAAAAAUAAGAAUAUGAGGCAUUAAAAGAUGAAGUAAUUAUGUCAUAGCUACUCUGGAGUUUAUACCAGAUGAGCAAGCAAAACAAACAAACAAACAAACAAACAAACACCUAUAAAACUUACCAAUCUGAGUUGAUCCUAAGGUCCAGAUCAAGCUUAGUGUUAGUGUUUUGAAUAAAUGUUUCCAAAAUAUCAAUUAGGCAAAUUGCACCUUAUAAUUGGUUGCUACUACUGGCCCAAAACUGACCACAACUAAGCAACAUUGAUUUUUCUCUGAGGAGAUAGCUUCCAUUUCUACAGCCUUCAAAACUGGAAAGUGUUUAGUUUGAAAUGUUUCUGAGCAUUUUACUCAUGUGGCCCCAUGCUCUCUCAAAGUAUAGGCCAACUGCAGCUACAGUGUAAAUUGGUCAAAUUUCUAAUAAGAGUUUGCUUAAAAAAAAACACAUUUAUUGAAAACAAUAGAAAAGACGAUGAUUAAUAGUUAGCUGGGCCAAUUAAAUUCUCUCUUGUAUUGAUGCCAUAAAGAUGAAGAAAGACCAGAAGAAACCUAAGAUCACAGUGAGAAAUGGCAAGAGCCAUGAGAAAUCAUGCACAAUAUGGACUGCUGAGAGAGCAGAAGAUAGGCAGAGGUACAGGUUAUGUGCACUAGCUUUAGGAAGCUCAUGACACUAGAGCUGCACGCUGCGUGCAUGGUAACAAUGCACAUGGUUCUUAGAAGAUGCUGAGCCCGUAAGCUUGGGAUACCUCUGGCCCUAGGUUUCUCUAGUUCUAGUUCAUAAAUACCAUUGCCCAUUAUAUUUGAUUUCUAGAUUUUUAAGUUAUUAACAUUCUAUUUGUACUAUAACCUGUCUUUUACAAUAACAUUUUGUUGCUUACCUAGAUAGUAGCAUUGAAUACAUAGAAUUAAAGUAUAGUUAAAAUAACAGUUUUAGUUUUGAAAUUAAAAUAUACUUAUAUCAUUUCCCAUUUUCUGUUCUUCCCUCCAGUUUCUCCCAUGUAUCUGCCUGCUUAUUAUCUCUCUUCCUCUCCCUCUCCCUCUCCAUCUCCAUCUGUCUCUCUCUCUUCCCCUCUCUGUGUGUCUCUGUCUGUCUCUCUCUCUGCCUCUCCUCUCUUGCUUUUAACAUAUAUAUGUUCCUGAAUAUGUAAAUAGAACUUGCUCAGUCCAUAUAAUGUUACUUGUAUGUAUGUACGUUUUCAUUAGGUAUUGUAUAACUAAUUAGUGUGCUCUUUUCUGGGGAAGACUAUUUCUUGAGCUCCCAGCAUUUCUUAUUUGCCUGUAGUUGCCUUUGUCUUUUAAACAGGGAUAUCACCUUCCCAAUGUUUAUUCUUUUCCGAGCAUCAGUCAGACUCUUUAUUUUGGCCCUAUCCAAUUUGCAUCAUUUUUCAUACAGCAUAAGGCAACAAUGAUCGAUACAGUCUCUAGAGUAAUCUACAAGUACCUUUCCAAAGCACUCUGCCUCAAGCACUUCCUUUAGCCUUUAUACAUCUGCCUUGAGUGGUCCUCUUGGGCUACUCUUGGCAAAAUAUUUGGAAGGAAAUCUGAAAUUUGAUUACUUUUAAACGAGAGAAGGAUUUUUACUAUAAAAUACAGUAAUCUAAGUGUGCCAUUGAAAUGUCUUUGCCCUGCUGUUCCACCCAGGCCUCAAGUGACCCCCUUUCUCUCUGAUAUAUUACCUUUGGCAUCCUGAAGUUCCAGAACAUGCCAAUGAAGUUGGUUUAGUCUGACUUGUUUGGGAAGAAUGGCUUGUGAUUGAGAAUCCUCUUGCCUGCUGAUAUAUGCAUCGGCCCUUCUUGACUCUGCUGAAUAGAAUUUCCCAUUACUCCAAGGAAUCAUAUGAAGUAAGCAAUGUUUCAUGACUCGUAUCUGCAUAUUUAUUCUAUAAAUGCAUUACAAACUUAGUCAGUUCACUAUUCUAGGCUCUGAUUUCUUAACCAAAUUGGUGCUUUCUAAUAACAAACAAAUAUUCUGAUUUGUGUAGCAAUGUGCCUCAAGGUGUUUAUGGUACCAAAAACAAAUUCAAUUUAGUUUCAGUUUGCCCUUUGUGGUUUUGUGAAGUUGGACUUUUUAAACAUUGUUUUAUAUAUGAGAAAUUGAGUGGAGAAAUGGGUAGGUUGGCUUUACUAACUAUAUGAGCAAUUACUGAUGAAAUUACUAAAGGUUGUAUCUCCAGAUUCAUAAUAUAGGUCAUGAUGUUUCAACAACUCUUUUGCAUUAGAAUUAUAGGCAAGAUGCCUAUCUCAGAUUUCAUUUCCCAAGCACUUAUAACAUAUAUGAUUUUUUUAAAAUAUGAACAUGGAAAAGACUUCCACAGUUAUGCCAUAAAAUGCUCCCAUAAGACAAGCUAGCACAGAAUUUGCUGAAGGGAGCAUGACACCGGCUUUCACCAUAUUCUUAUAGAGCCUGGUAGGCAGAGAAGAAACAAAGGACCAAAGUUUACAGUAUAUGGAGUCCAGUCAGGGGAUGUUGCAUGUUCUAAGAGGUAUAGGAGAAAUUGUUUGCUUGGAAAAGAAAGUUGGAGGAAUUCAUAAUUUGCUUAGAUUGAAUUGAACACCUGAAGGGAAAGAAGGUACCAUAAAACAGGAGGUAGGAUUGUGAUGAUCAUGAACCAAGCUGCACUAGCUAAGUGGCAUAUAAAGAGUUUCCAAUGUCUGAUUUAAAGAUGCCAACCAUGCUGUGGUGUGACCCUGACUUGUAAGAUACUGAAAUCCUAAUGCAUCAUGCCUUAGGAUGAAGAGGGAGAAAGAGGUCAUAAGUGGGAGUAGCUACUGAUGUAAAAAUGAGGAGUGAGAACAGGGAAGGACUACUGUGGGGAACGAUGAGCUAGAGUUGAGAACAUGGAAUUUUCCAUAAGAAAUGCAAAGCUGAUUCCUACUUAAUUAGGCUAAAAUGGCUUAUAUCUUCAGAAAGAUGAGCCAAUCCUGUAUUACUCACUCUUGCUCCACAUUUGAGAGUACUGUUGUCACAAUUUCUUUUAUUUUACCAAUAUUAGCAAUGAAGAAAAUAAAUUGAGGAAGAUAAGACAUUUAUCAUUAAUUUUUAGCAACUAGAAACAUCAGUUUCAUUAUAAACUAGGGUCAAAAACAAAUGUACAGUGUUGUCCAAGUUUGAGCAUUCCCCCCAAAUAAGCAUUUAAUUUAAAUCCCAAUAUAAAGGUAUCUAAUUGAUAUUUCAUUCAAACAAUGGUAGACUAUAUUACUGUGAAAUAGACCCAGUGAGCCAAACAAAUGGGCAGAUAGCUAAUAUUUACUGAAGCUUACUCUCCUAACAGAUGUGGGAUAUGGAAUUAUCAUAUUUACUAUCUCCUCUAAAUGGAAUUCUUAUUAUAUCAUGAGGGAUAAGAACAUUAUAUAGUGUCUUAGGUUGAAGGAGUUAUGAUGUACAAAGGCCAAUUACUUAGUGAAGGUUUUAUAAAAUAAAGGUGGGCAAGGAUAUCUAAGUAGACACUGGCUAUGGAAGGAGUGAGAUUCUCUUCAUUGAAGUCCAGAAUGGUCAAUUCACAUAUCAACACUUUUUCUCUCUUUAGAACGGGUAAACGGAGUCUGGCAGGAGGUGUUGCAGGCAGCCAAUUAAGGAACAUUUUGAUCAGGAUGGGCUCCAGGGAACAUCUCUUGUCAUCCCUGGUUCUGGUUGAUUUCCUUUUUGGCGUCUACACUGGACCUUUGGACUAAAGACUCUGCCUCUAGGUACCUACCCUUUAGCUUCUAUUACAUGGUGUAAGUGCAAUUCACUCACCCAUACAAUUGCAUUUCUGUAGAGCUCCAUAGCCCACAGUCUGCUCUACUAACUGCCUUCAAAAGUAAAAGCAAGAGGUAGCCAUGGGGUAAUAAUAACUGUGGGUAUAAUUAUGACUUUCUCCUAUGUAGAGGCAAUAGGCAUAAAGACAGAGUUCAGUUGUGCAACAUUCAAGUAGGAAUAUAGUAGUUCAUAUUUUGCAGAAGCCAUUACCUCUUUAAAGGAAUUAUCAGUGGGUAUUAUGCCUUAAUGUAGAGAGGCCAGAGGAAAUUCUAAUAUCCAUUUAAUAAAAUAGUUAACACAAUGAGGUUAUCAUAUGUGAGCCUACAAUAUGUACUUAUUCUUUAAGUUUGUUUCAGCAUCUGUUAGAAGAGUCACCUCUUUGGAUUAGAUCCACUGAAAGGAUGAAGGGCCAUAAAUAUCAAGGGUGUGGUUAUAGCUAGUAGGCAUGACUUGGAAUGACAUCACACUGAUUCCUCCAUAAGCAGGAUGAUUAGUGACAUUAUACUCUGCUCUUCUCUUCCUUUCACACAUCACUUUAACUUUCUAAUUUAGGAUAUGAGCAGCCUCACAAACAUUCUUGGUUAAAACAAAACAAAAC